UACGUAGGACCCGAGCGUUGUCCGGAUUUACUGGGUAUAAAGGGUGCGCAGGCGGGUGGGUAAGUCAGAGGUGAAAGUCUGUAGCUCAACUAUAGAAUUGCCUUUGAUACUGCUCAUCUUGAGUGUGGGAGAGGUUGAUGGAAUUCCAGGUGUAGCAGUGAAAUGCGUAGAUAUCUGGAAGAACACCAGGGGCGAAGGCGGUCAACUGGCCCAAAACUGACGCUCAGGCACGAGAGCGUGGGGAGCAAACAGG
rnacentral:rRNA from 1 species